rnacentral:rRNA from 1 species
UACGGAGGGUGCAAGCGUUAUCCGGAUUCACUGGGUUUAAAGGGCGCGCAGGCGGCUUGGCAAGUGGAAGGUGAAAUCCCUCGGCUUAACCGAGGAACUGCCCUCCAAACUGCUUCGCUUGAGACCGGGAGAGGUGAGUGGAAUUCCCAGUGUAGCGGUGAAAUGCGUAGAUAUUGGGAGGAACACCAGUGGCGAAGGCGGCUCACUGGACCGGUACUGACGCUGAUGCGC